rnacentral:rRNA from 1 species
AGGUCUUGACAUCCCGAUGCUAUUUCUAGAGAUAGAAGUUACUUCGGUACAUCGGUUGACAGGUGGUGCAUGGUUGUCGUCAGCUCGUGUCGUGAGAUGUUGGGUUAAGUCCCGCAACGAGCGCAACCCCUGUGGUUAGUUGCCAGCAAGUAGCGUUGGGCACUCUAGCCAGACUGCCGGUGAUAAAUCGGAGGAAGGCGGGGACGACGUCAAAUCAUCAUGCCCUUUAUGUCCUGGGCUACACACGUACUACAAUGGCCGUUACAACGGGAAGCGAAGGAGCAAUCCGGAGCAAAUCCCUUAAAGGCGGUCCCAGUUCAGAUUGUGGGCUGAAACUCGCCCACAUGAAGGCGGAAUUGCUAGUAAUUGCAGAUCAGCAUGCUGCAGUGAAUACGUUCCCGGGCCUU